CUGGAACGGAAAAGACUGCAUACCUUCAAGCUUCAUCCCGAUUUCAAAAGGAAAAAAACAAAAAGCUUCAUCCCGGGCUAGCAUCCCCGUUGUCUCCCAUUGCCUGGCUUGGUUGUUCUGAAGUGUGCCACUCUUGCGCCCCGUCUCCGUUCAUUCAGAUUCGCGCGUCUUCGUCUCUUCGCUCUCUCCAGCCGCGCCGUACACCGGCAAGCCGCCAUGUACAAUACACAUUCUUUGUGCGGACGGCCAACAGCACGGGAGGAAAGCACAGAUCAAUAUCGUCACCUAACUGAACAAACCAGUGCUGUACCAACGGAUCCUUCUCAACGCAAACGUUACCGUGAUCGGGUUAGGUAUAUGCAGAUGACGCCACAACAGAGAGAAGCUUAUUUGAAAAGGAAUCGUGAGUACAAACGAAUCAAGCGAGGUGACAGUGCAAUUAGUAAGACUGUGCAACCCGUAAGAUGGGAGACCAGUAUGAGUACCAAUGAUAACACACACUUGCCAACUGA